rnacentral:lncRNA from 1 species
AAACCUUGCAAAGCUCUCCAUUUCACCCAGAGUAAAAGCUGAAAUCCUUACUGUGAUCAAUAAGCCCUGUAUGAUCUUUAAGCUCCCUCCCUUCUCUCCCCUGGGCUUAUUCUGUUCUAUCCACCCAAGAUUCCUUUGCUGUUGCUUGAACACUCCAGACAUACUGCUGCCUCAGGGCCUUUGAAAAUACAUCACAUGACUAACUUUGGCAUCUCCUUCAGUCUUCAGUCACAUAUGCCUUUACAGUGCGAUGGCACUGUAGAAGUGUAGGUGAUAUCACAACUUCCUCAAUUCUUUGACUUGUCACAAUGAGCAUAAAUUACUUUUGUAAUUUUAUAGGACACUCAUGGAGGGAAAUCUAUACACAGAAACACACACACACAGGGAGAAAGCCAUGUGAAGACAGGCAGAGACUGGGGUAAUGCAGCUACAAGGGAAUGUCAGAGAUUGCUAGCAAACACCAGAAGCUGGAAGAGGCAAUUAAGGAUUGCUCCCUAGAGCUUUUAGAGGGAGGACGGCUCUGCCACCUGCCUUGUUCUUGGACUCCUAGCCUCCAGAAUUAGGUCACCUGUUGGGCAAUAUCACCAUAGACUGAAUACAGAAGCAGAUAUUAGCCUCCAGCCUCCUGCUCAUCUGGACACUAGAGAGAGUGAGGUCAGCUAAAAACAAGAAAGAAAUUUAAAGCAUCCUGGGAAGUCAUCAUACCCUUUUUCUCCAAGAAAAUCUAGUUUUGCUUGUUUUUGUGUAUCCCACAACACCUGUGUUUGACUAUCUUUUUCACUUUGGAUUUGGAUUUUGGUGUGAUAUACACAGUUCCAAAAAAUCAAUGGAUAGAAAACUCAAUGGCAUAAAUAAGUGCUUAAAACAAUACUUCAAGAAAUGUUCAACAUUCCACGAGAACAAUAUCCACGUGAGAUGAAAAGAAAAGUCUAAGUUAGUUCCUGAUUCCUGGAAGCUGGGAAAGUCUCAUUCCAGUAACUACUUAAUACCCCCUGUCAGUCUCCUUCAAAGGCUGAAGCCAGCCUCUGACUGAAGCGCAGCCGCAAUGUUUCCUGUCUGGUGCCAGCACAGCUUGCCUGGACUUCUGAAAAUUGCAAGCGCUUGCUCCUUGCUAGUCACCACACUCCCCCUUUCUUAGUUGCAGACUCCCUCUUGCUGUGGUUUACCAGGUGCCCUUAUUGCCCCUCAUGCUUGUGUGCCACUUUGGACUUAAUCUGGCACACUUAACUCCCUUCAUCUACGCCUGAAGCUGGACAAGCUGAAGUGACUGCGUCACUUUCUCAAUUCUGGCUCCUGCCCACCGACCUUGCUCUGCUAGGAGGAAUUAGCUCUGCCUGGCCAGAACCCAAGAAGUGACAAAUCAAACUCGCUCAAUAGGUGGUAAUUAAACUUCUGGCUCUAAAGCCCAGAAUAGGUUGUCAAUGGGAUUUCACAGUGGCUCCCUGACACUAAGCAAGGAUGUAUUUCUACAUCUAGUUUUAAAUCUUAAACUCUAAUAGGAUUCUCAGAAAAGACAGUAAAGACUAAGGCCAAAAAAAGUUGUUUAAAGGGGAAAAUGACAGUAAGUACAAAAGAUAAUCUGGGGAAGACCUGGCAAUUCUGAAAUCAAAACAUCUGUUACUAAGUGGAUCAUGACUGCUUAGUUUCUAGUCUAGAAUCUUUAAGUAAGCCAUUCAGAAGAUGUGAUACUAUAGAAUGAUACCAACUGAGGAAUAGAGUGGAGAGGAAGGGCUGAAGAUGACUUCAGAAAAAGGCCUGAGGCGUGACAAAUGUUGAUCUCACUCACUGAUCUAUGCUGUAUUUCUUUUAAGAAUGUAUUAAUAUAAAUGUCCUUUUCUUCCCACAUCCAAUCCCUAUUACUACACCAAAUACUUGUUCCUCUAGGAAAUGUGAAGUUGAAAAAAAUUUCCCCCAUUAAAUGAGAAUUAUUCUGCUUAUGA